ensembl:lncRNA
GAAAAAAAUAAAAAACUGUGUGUGUGCAAUCAAGAAGUUCGUUCUGAAGUUCAGUUUCAGACUAAGGUUUUUUAGGUUAAACUGUAAAAAUGUAUUGUUUUCAUUUGACGAAAAUGAAAUAUAUUUUAUUUAUAAUUCAUGGAUGCCCUGAGGAUUCUUUUGCCUCAGUCUAUCACAGGCUUCUACUUCCUCAAGUGAGAGAGAAAAAAAUUUAACAGCAACAUGCAGCACUGAAAAAAAGACAAGACUUUUUCCACUGCAAUUUCACGUGGAUAUAAAAAUAGUUUAUAUAUAUACACUCUCUCUCUCUCUCUCUCUCUCUCUCUCUCUCUCAUGAUGAGUUACAGUAAGUAUCCAAAUACUUUCUCUUAUUUAGGCUAUAACCUCUUGACUGGUUAAAUUGUCUUAAAUUAUUUGUAUGUUAAGCAACUGAAAAGUGGAAAAUUCUCUAGAAAACUUACAUUUCUGAGGAACAUAUUUUAAUUUCACCAGCUUGUGCAUGAGGCUUAUAAUAUCACAUUAAACUGCCAACACUGUUUCCAUAAGAUAUAUCUCAACAUUUUCUAAAUUUGAGAUGUUAAUGAACUCACUUUAAUAAAUAUGAUUUAUAACCAUAUAAUUUUACUGAUAAUGUUAAAAAUGAUUGAAUAAGAGUUGAUAAAAUAUCUAAAAUAAACGAAUGAAUAAAUCAUUAAACUGCAAACGACCCUGCAACAUUAUUUGUGCUUUGGGGUCACUUUGCAUCAGAAAAAAACGAAAAAAAAAAAAAACAAGUCAGUGCAUCCAGACAAAUGCAAAUAGAGUGGCAGCAGUUUACAGCUGCUCAUUUUCAAACAAGUUGUUUUCCUUUAGAAUAUCUUUGAUGUAAUUAUUUAUCAUAAAAUUAUAAGUCAAAGAAUAAUUUUGUUAAUAAGAAUUACCUGACAGGCAGCUCUAUCCUCUCUCUCUCUCUCUCUCUCUCCUCCCUCCUCUGUUCAGCAGCAUGUCAGAGUCUGUGGGAUGGAGUUACAGCGCAUUUCUUUCCAUCUGGAUGCUGCUCUGAGCACCUUUAAUGAAGAGAGCCACGUCUCUCCAAACUUCACAAGACCCCUGACUGUCCAACACACACCUCCAGCGGAACAAAGCCGUUUUAAAAGUAACUUUCCCGAAAAUAGCUACACAAGCAAGCCAGGACGUCCAAACAGACCUUUACACAGCCAGAGCAUGAAGCUCCAGUGCGUUUCUCUUCUCAUUUGUGCUUUACUCAUUGGCGAGUGCUGCGGGUCUCGUCUGGACCGCUGGGUCCGAACUGGACUUCAGUACAUGAAGCUCAACCUGUGCCGGAGGGUCUCUCUGCCGGAGAGCGAGUGCAAGAAGCUGUCCCACCUGCACCUGAGCGGGGUAGUGGUGUACGUGACCGAGUCCGGCUCGGGGAAAGUGCUGGCGAUCCUGCCGGACUCAUACUCGAGCGGUGCGCUGCAGUCCAAGCAGAGCGGCUUCUCUGCGGACGCGAGUGCGGAAGAUGAGCGCAGGGCGAACGAAGAGCUGUACCCGGGCGCGAGUGCGCAUGACGCCGUGCUGCUGCUGGACCCCAGCCCCGGCGAGAGCUUCGGACACCCGGUGGUCCUGUUCUAUGUGGACUUCAACACAACCAAGAAGAAAUGUGCUCAUAUGGACGGCAUUUAUCUGGGGGAGGAGUGCUUGACGAUGGCUGUGAAGACACGUUGCCAGAACCAGCUGAAGCGGAGGAGGAGCCGCAGCGACCGUAUGGCAAGCCGGGCGAGGGCCCGCAGGAGCACGACGGGCAGAACCGGCCGAGCGGAGCACAGCAGCGGCCUCUGUGAGAUUCACUUUCUCCCUCUUGUUGUGGGAGUGAAAGAUAGCAACCGAACCCAGCGCCUGCACUGUGUAGAUCACCCAGACUUUGCCAGAUGCCCGCAGCCUUUGCCCCUGGCCAGUCCCAGCACACCCAUCUCCAGCUGUGAGCUCAAUAAAAACACCCGGCGGUGCCAUCAGCAACGCCUGGCCACACACCUGUCCUGCCGCCUCUACCAGACCUGUGAUCAUGCUGUUCUCCUGUCAGGUGGCUGGCAGGAGCAGAUAACAUACCAACAACAUGCAAAGAACCUGCAGCUCUUCGACCAGAUGCUGAGGAACAACGGCUUCGAUAAGGACCACAUAAAGACAUUCUUUGCUGGGAAUGGACAGGUAGCAGCUAAAGCCACUGAGGGGAUGUAUCCAGCCACAGAGAAAGAGGUGAUCAGGAAUCACAUUUCCUACAUCUGCCGUAAGCAGCACUGUGUGGAUUCUCUUGUUCUGUACCUGAACAGCCCCACACGCAAUGAUGGCACCAUGCUGCUCUGGGACCGCAAUAACAACGGCAUUGCAGAUCUGAAGGAGCGUUACUCUGUGGGUGAACUGUUGGCGGAUCUGGCCGGAUGCAGGGCCAGUCGGGUGCUGCUCUUUGUGGAGCAGAGCUACAGUGGAGUCCUCAGCAAGAGACUGAUGGGAUCUCUCAAACACGUCAAUGUCGUGCUGCUGAACGGACUGCCCUGGGUGCCCACAGCUGAGUUCUGGGCCUCUCUGCACCCAUCAGAGUGCCUCAUAGACCACCUCAGUAAGCACAGUUCUGCGAUGCCCCGACUGGCUGAUGCUGCUCUGGGACUGAUGAACGUGACUCUGGCCGGUGCUCCGUGCAACUCCACCCCUCCUCUCACCGAAGCCGAAAUGAGGAAGGAGUACAUGGGCUGCCAGAACCUCCCCACAGCUCUGUGGUACCAAAAACGGCCCAAGACCGUCAACAGCAGGAAUUGA